GAUCUAUUAGAUUAAGUAAAUAGAUUAAGUAAAAUUACAAAGAAUCCCACGAUUUAGUCUAUUAUUUUUUUUUUAUUCAUAAAGCACAUGUAUAUUUUUUUUAAUCAUUUCAUUCGCGAGGAGCUGGAUGAGAAGAAACUCUCAUGUCCGGUUCUGUAGUAGAGAUGGAAUUGAGAAACAACCAUCAACUAUAACCCCAAAAGAACCCGAUUCCGUAAACAACA
rnacentral:misc_RNA from 1 species